AAAGUUAUAUCAGAACCAAAAGUACAAAAUAAACGUAUCGGAAUCAUCGAAGGGCCAAACAACGAAGUGCAUAGGAAGCUAUUAAUCUGAUUCUAAUGAGUUUAAAAUUUUUAAUCUAAGCAUUUCUUGUAAAAUAAUAACUGUUGCAAAAACAUCAAUGAGCAUAGUCGCGCUACCCCCUCUGCCACGCAUACGGUAAAUUUACUCCAUGUUCGAGUCGAAAGUGUCUUUGUGUGACGUCCGUGUCUUUGAACGGACCAAUCACACAGUACGGGACUUCGCUCGCCUCGUCCCGCGCACCCCCGCAUUUUUGGCAUCAUCGGUUGCAUGAAAUAAUUGCUCUGAACUCACUCAUUUCGCUCACUUCGCUCAGUGGAUCUUUAGACUACAUUGUUCAAAAGCGAGUAGAGAGAAAUGUCAAUCAAUCAAUCAGAUACACACAGCCACCAAGUGCGACUAAGGUGGCGAAUCACGCGAUACAAGCCUGCCAUGUUUUCCCGACACCCUCCGAAUUCUUCCGAACCGCUCCGAAAUCUAUUCGCAACGUCUCACUCGCACCUCGCUCGUCACGCUCGGCCGGCUCAUUCGAAUCAUGAGUGGGAAAGAGCACACAAGGAACACUGAGAUAGAUGAGCGACUGAGCGAGUUAAAUCAUCAGUGAGCUGAAGAGUGAGCGAGUUCAAUCAAAAGAUAUAGCAGAAGUAAAAGUGCUCGACGCUGCACUAGUAAUCGACAUGGGCACUUUAUGUCAAAGUAAUAAAGUUAAAUUUGAACGACGAAGAUUUUUCUGUAUUCAAAUUU